AAGGUUGAGUCGACCCAAGGCAAAGUUGGGUCGACCCAAGGACAGGUUGAGCCGACCCAAACACGGGCUGAACAUAACAGCUAGUUGUGCAGAAAUGCUUUUUGGACUCCCAACGGCUAUAAACGGCUAGUUUCUUUAAUCCAAUGGUCAGAAAGGACUAUUUGGAGGUUGGAGAAGUAUUUAAGAGGGAGUAUUCAUCAGAAGAAGUAAGCCUUGGGGGAAAAUACAUCAAGUGCAUUCAAGAGAGAACCCUAGCAAGGCAAGCCUCAUCCAAGUGCUUCAUUCAAGAAUCAAAAGAAAGGGGUUGAGCAGUUUCAAAGAGGCAUCAAGAGCUCCAUCCUCCCUUGAAGAAGUGAAGCAUCCUUGACAAAGAAGAGAGAAGCCACUUCAAAGCGAUAAAUAUUUUCUAACUCUUCUUUGUAGUUUAUAUUGUUUUAUAUGCUCAUUUAGGAGUUUGAAUCUUUCUUUUUGUUUGUCAAAACUACUUGUUGUAAGGUUUGUUGGCAAGCCCGUAAAACCAACAUUGG
rnacentral:lncRNA from 1 species